rnacentral:rRNA from 1 species
UGACCAUGCAGUCCGAACGGCAGCACGGAGCUUGCUCCUGGUGGCGAGUGGCGAACGGGUGAGUAAUAUAUCGGAACGUACCCUAGAGUGGGGGAUAACGUAGCGAAAGUUACGCUAAUACCGCAUACGAUCUAAGGAUGAAAGUGGGGGAUCGCAAGACCUCAUGCUCGUGGAGCGGCCGAUAUCUGAUUAGCUAGUUGGUAGGGUAAAAGCCUACCAAGGCAUCGAUCAGUAGCUGGUCUGAGAGGACGACCAGCCACACUGGAACUGAGACACGGUCCAGACUCCUACGGGAGGCAGCAGUGGGGAAUUUUGGACAAUGGGCGAAAGCCUGAUCCAGCAAUGCCGCGUGAGUGAAGAAGGCCUUCGGGUUGUAAAGCUCUUUUGUCAGGGAAGAAACGGUGAAGGCUAAUAUCCUUUGCUAAUGACGGUACCUGAAGAAUAAGCACCGGCUAACUACGUGCCAGCAGCCGCGGUAAUACGUAGGGUGCAAGCGUUAAUCGGAAUUACUGGGCGUAAAGCGUGCGCAGGCGGUUUUGUAAGUCUGAUGUGAAAUCCCCGGGCUCAACCUGGGAAUUGCAUUGGAGACUGCAAGGCUAGAAUCUGGCAGAGGGGGGUAGAAUUCCACGUGUAGCAGUGAAAUGCGUAGAUAUGUGGAGGAACACCGAUGGCGAAGGCAGCCCCCUGGGUCAAGAUUGACGCUCAUGCACGAAAGCGUGGGGAGCAAACAGGAUUAGAUACCCCUGGUAGUCCACGCCCUAAACGAUGUCUACUAAUUUGUCGGGUCUUAAUUGACUUGGUAACGCAGCUAACGCGUGAAGUAGACCGCCUGGGGGAGUACGGUCGCAAGAUAACAAAAGAUAUUGGUGGGGGGGGGGGGGGGGGUAAAAAAAGGAGGGGAA